UUUCCUUCGUUCACCUAGAGAGACAGGGGUAACGAGAAAAGGGGGCCAGGCCGUUCGCCGCCUCCACCCGCCGAUCCCUCGCCGCCCCGCCGUCGUCCGUCGCCGCCAUCCUCCACUGGCCGUCAUCGACGCACCUCCCAUGGCCGCGUUUUGAUUCGGUCGUCAGUGGCUCCAUCCCCACUGCAGCGUCUCCUCUCCUCUCCACCCCCAUCUUGCCCUAUCCCCUGUCAUCCCUUUCAUCCUCCUCUUAGAUGGGGUACAUCGCCUUGAUCUCCUCCACGGUCGCCUGAAGCAACUCCCUCACAAACCCUAGCCACCACUGUCUCCAACGAUGGCGGAUGCCGGCGAGCAGCGUGGAAGCCGCUGGUGCUGUACGGAGACUGACGACGCGUGACACACGACGGCCAUACACUUAAGGGUUGUUGGUGCAGGCAAUGGAUACGAAGUACCAAGCCAGUUGAUAUGAACUUGCGAUUUUCAUGUUAUUAGUCCUCUACUACUAUCUCUCAAGCUGGAGGUGAUUGCAAAUUUCUGCAUGAGCCUCAGAUUCCUUCAUAUUGCACUAAUUAUAUAAUCAGCAAAUGGAUUCAUGAUGAGGAGCAAUGAUAGUUCUAUGUAUGUAUGAUUAGUGAUCCAGACAUUCAGUACUACAAUUUACAGGAGUUGGUGAACAUUGUUGGCCCCGUUUAUGAAUACGGCAUUCUUGACUGAAUGAACCAGUGGUUCUAGAGCACUCGAUUGGGCAGUAAAAAGAGUAGAUGCUUCGUCAUUCGUCCAAGUUCAUGGCUGGGUAGUGGGUACUCCCGCGGAAAUUCUAGAGAACCCAGAUGCAUGAAUGGGCUGAGUUAAAUUCCCCUGUUCUGUUUGCUCAGUAUAUAUGUGGAUUGUGCAUUUUCAAUCAACGUCUGAACCACGGACUCAGAUUUCAAAAAUUGUCUCCACAAGAGGCGGUACAUGAGCUGUCAGGAUUUGUCAUGUGACUUCUCUAUUGCUUAACGGGCCACUACAUCGUUUCUUGGAAUUUUCAGCAAAUGCUCCUCUCUAUACUGAUUGGCGACCAUCUUGCUAGGAUUCAAUUUUGUCCAAUACAAAUCCACAUGUUUGCUAAAUCACUUAGUCCCUGUAGUAAACAUGUGUAGCUUGAUUUUGAAUUAUGCUUUGAACACAAAGUUAAUUAACGCUCGAUUGCCCAUGUAUGCUAUUCUUGCUUGGACCAGAGUUUCCUACCUUCCAAAUUAAAUUUGAGUUUGAUGUUCAGUUAUUUACAUAAUUAUAGAAUACCAUCUUCCAUGAAAAAUGCCAGCUAAUUGAUUUUCAGUGCUAAGUUUGAUAAUAAGGUUAUCUGCAUAAAUAUUGAUCAAUUCAUAUGUCAGAGCAUGAUAUGAUUUCUAUAUCCCUGAUCAGUGACAAAUGCUUGACAAGGUGUUCUAUGCCAAUUUUUUUCUGAGCCUGACAAAACCUUAGUAUUCAUCAUCUUAUCCAAGUUUAAGGUGUAUGGGAAAACUAUAGUUUCGAAUGUUUUGAACUAUAUGAUCUCUUAUAGUUUGUAGUUUGGCGACGAUGUCAUAAAGCUUGCAGUUUGGUGAUUGAAGGCCAUUCUUCUGCAUUACAUUUGUUAUAUUAAGAGUACUAGCAUGCAGCUUCACAAGCACAAAUAAGGAGGUACUAGAGUAACCAUCAUACAUUGAAGGAUGUAAUAUUAGCCAGGCCCUGCACAUCAAAUAUAUAUUAGAUGUUAGUCGUUAUGUGAUUUCUCCAUUAUACUUUCAUAUAGGAGAUUGCUCUCAUUUCUCAGCAAGACACUAACUUUUACUUUACACACAAUUCAGCUGGAUGCUUACUUUUACCUCUUCUCUCUUACAGGAUUAUUGUUCAUUUCAUUUUGCACUUCACAAAAUUGGAAGAAUUGUUUUCUAAGCCCAUGGUCUCCAUCAGGACAUCAUACACAUGUGAAUGUAUAAUAAUCCAGGGCUACGAAACGGUGGUGACAUAAUUUUGACUCAGGUUUUCAUCAAUAUCAGCUAUUGUAUUUGUACAUAGAAAAAACUCGAAUCCUUAAAAUACAUUCUGACAUA